GUUUCAGCGAUCUUUCCCUUUCUACAAUCAUAAUUUAAAUGAUUUCAUAUUCCUGCCAAUGUGCUAAUAGUUUUUCUCAUGUUUAUCAUUUGUGGCAGUGUAUUUUUCUAGUUUAAACAUUUGCAAUGCAGGCAGAGCCAGCCAUAUUUAAAGGGAAAGAUGUCAUGAAGUUGAUCAAGUUGGAAGAACGUCACAUGUUUUUAGUGCAGUGCAGAAUCAAUGGUGUAUUUCCAAUGUCCAUUAACAAAUUAAAGUUACUGGUAAGAUCAAAAAUUUUACUAGCUAGUACCAAAAGACAUUGUUUGUCGGCUGCUAUUACGGAUUCAAGAAGGCAAUUAUAUUGUUGGAAAUUUUACAUGCAGAGGUUUACACUUCAAGAAUGUUGAGCAAUUAAAGCUUGUUCUACCAUCUUUUAUGAGGUUUGUUGAUACGAAUCAACGCAAGAUUAGGAAAAGAUAUAUUAAAAAGCUAUGGUUGUUGAUAUCUAAACAAAUUAAAAAGAACGCUCCUAAUAACAACAAAACGUAUGUAGCCUUGGAUGACAUCAUCAUUCCUAGAUACGUGCACGAUACUUUAGCAAUAGGACCUAAUAAUUUGAUCCAGAACAUUCCCUCUUGGAGGCAUUUAGCUAUUCAAUUAGAACUGAUACUCCAAACCUGCGAUCCCAUUAGAGCUGACUAUAUUAGGUGGCAGGUAGCUUGAGCCUAUAACAACUAUAAUUUUAAUGAUGUAAAUUCUAUAAGGUCUAAGAUUAAACAGACAGAGAGAUGGUUUGAAGAUAAUAACAUAAUUUGUGCUAGAGAUGAUAAAAGUAAAUCGAUCGUUCUCAU
rnacentral:lncRNA from 1 species